rnacentral:rRNA from 1 species
AUUGAACGCUGGCGGCAGGCUUAACACAUGCAAGUCGAGCGGAGAUGAGGUGCUUGCACCUUAUCUUAGCGGCGGACGGGUGAGUAAUGCUUAGGAAUCUGCCUAUUAGUGGGGGACAACAUUCCGAAAGGAAUGCUAAUACCGCAUACGUCCUACGGGAGAAAGCAGGGGAUCUUCGGACCUUGCGCUAAUAGAUGAGCCUAAGUCGGAUUAGCUAGUUGGUGGGGUAAAGGCCUACCAAGGCGACGAUCUGGAGCGGGUCUGAGAGGAUGAUCCGCCACACUGGGACUGAGACACGGCCCAGACUCCUACGGGAGGCAGCAAUGGGGAAUAUUGGACAAUGGGGGGAACCCUGAUCCAGCCAUGCCGCGUGUGAAGAAGGCCUUAUGGUUGUAAAGCACUUUAAGCGAGGAGGAGGCUACUGAGACUAAUACUCUUGGAUAGUGGACGUUACUCGCAGAAUAAGCACCGGCUAACUCUGUGCCAGCCGCCGCGGUAA